GCGAAUUCGCCCUUUUCCGGUUGAUCCUGCCGGACCUGACUGCUAUCGGAUUGAUACUAAGCCAUGCGAGUCAUUGUAGCAAUACAAGGCAGACGGCUCAGUAACGCGCAGUCAAUCCACCCUAUGGACGGGGAUAACCUCGGGAAACUGAGAAUAAUACCCGACAGAACAUUAUGCCUGGAAUGGUUUAUGUUUUAAAUGAUUUAUCGCCGUAGGGUGGGACUGCGGCCUAUCAGUUUGUUGGUGAGGUAAUGGCCCACCAAGACUAUUACAGGUACGGGCUCUGAGAGGAGUGGCCCGGAGAUGGGUACUGAGACACGGACCCAGGCCCUAUGGGGCGCAGCAGGCGAGAAAACUUUGCAAUGUGCGAAAGCACGACAAGGUUAAUCCGAGUGGUUUCUGCUAAAGAAACCUUUUGUUAGUCCUAGAAACACUGACGAAUAAGGGGUGGGCAAGUUCUGGUGUCAGCCGCCGCGGUAAAACCAGCUCCCUCAAGUGAUCAGGAUGAUUAGUGGGCCUAAGGCAUCCGUAGCUUUCUUUGUAAGUUCUCGGUUAAAUCCAUGCGCUUAACGUAUGGGGGGCCGGCUAAUACUGCAAAGCUAGGGAGUGGGAGAGGUAGACGGUACUCGGUAGGAAAAGGGUAAAAUCCUCUGAUCUAUUGAUGACCACCUGUGGCGAAGGCGGUUUACCAGAACACGUCCGACGGUGAGGGAUGAAAGCUGGGGGAGCAAACCGGAUUAGAUACCCGGGUAGUCCCAGCUGUAAACUAUGCAAACUCAGUGAUGCAUUGGCUUGUGGCCAAUGCAGUGCUGCAGGGAAGCCGUUAAGCCCGCCGCCUGGGGAGUACGGCCGCAAGGCUGAAACUUAAAGGAAUUGGCGGGAAGGGCGAAUUC
rnacentral:rRNA from 1 species